GACGAACGCUGGCGGCGCGCCUAACACAUGCAAGUCGAACGAGCGAGAGAGAGCUUGCUUUCUCGAGCGAGUUGCGAACGGGUGAGUAACGCGUGAGGAACCUGCCUCAAAGAGGGGGACAACAUUUGGAAACGACUGCUAAUACCGCAUAAGCCCACGACCCGGCAUCGGGUAGCGGGAAAAGUAGCAAUCCGCUUUGAGAUGGCCUCGCGUCCGAUUAGCUAGUUGGUGUGGUAACGGCCCACCAAGGCGACGAUCGGUAGCCGGACUGAGAGGUUGAACGGCCACAUUGGGACUGAGACACGGCCCAGACUCCUACGGGAGGCAGCAGUGGGGAAUAUUGCACAAUGGGGGAAACCCUGAUGCAGCGACGCCGCGUGGAGGAAGAAGGUCUUCGGAUUGUAAACUCCUGUUGUCGAGGAAGAUAAUGACGGUACUCAAAAAGGAAGUGACGGCUAACUACGUG
rnacentral:rRNA from 1 species